CUGAAACAUCUUUCUCCCCAUUGAUUGCCAGAAUUGAGUUGGUUGAACAGGCUGGCUAGGUCAGUGUCC
rnacentral:sRNA from 1 species